rnacentral:rRNA from 1 species
GAUGAACGCUGGCGGCGUGCCUAAUACAUGCAAGUCGAGCGAACAGAUAAGGAGCUUGCUCCUUUGACGUUAGCGGCGGACGGGUGAGUAACACGUGGGUAACCUACCUAUAAGACUGGGAUAACUUCGGGAAACCGGAGCUAAUACCGGAUAAUAUUUCGAACCGCAUGGUUCGAUAGUGAAAGAUGGUUUUGCUAUCACUUAUAGAUGGACCCGCGCCGUAUUAGCUAGUUGGUAAGGUAACGGCUUACCAAGGCGACGAUACGUAGCCGACCUGAGAGGGUGGUAGGCCACACUGGAACUGAGACACGGUCCAGACUCCUACGGGAGGCAGCAGUAGGGAAUCUUCCGCAAUGGGCGAAAGCCUGACGGAGCAACGCCGCGUGAGUGAUGAAGGUCUUCGGAUCGUAAAACUCUGUUAUUAGGGAAGAACAUACGUGUAAGUAACUGUGCACGUCUUGACGGUACCUAAUCAGAAAGCCACGGCUAACUACGUG